CACAAAACUCACCUCGAAACUUUGUUGUUGGGUAUUCAGAAGUAGAACUAGUUGGAACCUUUAAGCAAUGGGCCACGCUGCAGAGAGCCCCGUCAGCAGAACGACCCUUGCAAGAUGGGGCCCCUUGGUCAUGAACUUCUCAGCCUCCGGAACUGUUCUUAAUUGCUGUUCUGAUCAUCUGAGGAUAUCGAACUCUCUUGCUUCUUCACUCUUCCAAAGCAG